CAGCUUAUUCUGCAGAUCUUGAUCUCAACCUUGCAUGUGACACUUGGUCAAGCGGUGGCAGCAGGCUCUUUCUGCAUACCAGGACAGACACAGACCUGUGUGUACCACGCGUCUUGCAUCUUCAACAGGUGUGAGUGCGACAACACUCACUAUGAAAGCUUUGGCGUCUGCUUAAACAAGGUGGCAGCGGGUAGUGGCUGUUCUACAGGACAGACCUGUGUGGACAACGCGACUUGUACCUGGAACACCUGUGAGUGUGCGAGUACUCACUACCUGAGUGACGGCGACUGCUUGCAGAGUGAGUAUGAAGACCUGCUACAGUGUUGAUACCUUUGGUUAUUAUAGUAAACAAUCACAGUAGAAAGUAUAUACAGAUGUAAAGUAAACGUACAUGCGACCAAUUGAGCUUACACAUCUAGUCUCACAGACCUGUGACAUUUGUGAUUUGAACCCUAAUCUUUAAUUUUA